rnacentral:ncRNA from 1 species
GGGUUUGAUCCUGGCCCAGGAUGAACGCUAGCGGCGUGCUUUGAAUAUGCAAGUGGGACGAGCUCCGCAAGGAGCGAGUCGCGAACGGCUGAGUAAUGGAUAGGAAUCUACCUUUUGAUGUGGAAUACCCCUGCGAAAGCAGGGCUAAUACCGCAUAAGACCUAACGGUGAAAGCACUUAACUGUGCGUCGAAAGAUGAGCCUAUCUCCCAUCAGCUUGUUGGUAGGGUAAUGGCCUACCAAGGCUAUGACGGGUAGGGGGCGUGAGAGCGUGACCCCCCAGAAUGGGACUGAGAACGGCCCAUACACCUACGGGUGGCAGCAGCUGGGAAUCGUACGCAAUGGACGAAAGUCUGACGUCGCGACGCCGCGUGGAGGAUGAAGGCCUUCGGGUUGUAAACUUCUUUUGUCCUGAAUGAGAAUUCAGGAAGAAUAAGCACCUGCUAACUCUGUGCCAGCAGCAGCGGUCAUACAGAGGGUGCAAGCGUUAUCCGGAUUUAUUGGGCGUAAAGCGUUUCGUAGGCGGCCUUUUAAGUUAUCCUUUAAAGACCACGGCUCAACCGGGGGAAGGGGGAUAAUACUAUUAGGCUUGAAGUGUGGUGGGGCUUCUGGAACUGACGGUGUAGGAGUGAAAUCCGUUGAUAUCGUCAGGAACUCCAAGGGCGAAGGCAGGAAGCUAACCACAUCUUGACGCUGAGGAACGACAGCUAGGGGAGCGAAAUGGAUGGGGAGUAAUAAUCUCUAGUCCCCUUUAUCAAGUGAUUGGUAGAGGUAAAAUUUGGCUAUAUGCUGGAAUAUCUGAGAAUCUCAAACUAGUUAUUGACUAUGGAUUUUAUUCGGUUAAUACUGAAUUAAUGUCUAUUUCUUUAACUGAAAAUGUUUUGAGUGCAGACAAUCAGCAGGGAACUCGCCGUUUUGGCGAGACACCUCAGAGACUAAAUGCCAAAUAUCCUAGUGAGAAAGAAAUUACCAAUAAGGAAGCAAUUUUAUUAGGAAUUCUAUAUACAGAUGGAUGUCUUUCUAAAAAGAGUAAGAAUUGUUGGAGAUUUUAUGUCAGCAACACUUCAUACGAAAUCAUACAAACUUUUAAAGACUGCAUGAUUAAUCUUUUUAAGUUAGAACCCAAUCGGGUUAGAAUUUCUCAAAAGUUGGUAAAUGGUAGACCUUUUUACAAAGCAGUUGUUGAUAGUGGACUUUACGGAAGUUAUUUAACUUCCCGCUAUGGCACUUUCAGGACAUUAGCUUUUAAAAAAGAAGACGGGAAGAAAGUAUAUCCUCCUGCAAAAUUACCAUUUGAUCGACACACUAAUCUUAAUUUAAUUUCUAGAUUUUUAAGAGCAGCUUUUAGUUGUGAUGGUGGGGUCAACUUAUAUAUAGGGAGAUCAAAACAAGGUUAUAAAUUUUUGAUCCGCAAUGUAUAUUUGGCCUGUAAUCAUCCACAACUUCAAACUGAUUAUCAUAGGCUUUUAAAGCUUUUGAGUAUAAAGUCUAAAAUUAUUGUAAGAGAUAGAAAAAUUCUUGUUCAGGGUAAAAAUAAUCUGGAUAAGUUUAGAAAGAAGAUAAGCUUUCUUAAUGGAGUAAAAAUCACCCAGCAUUCUGCUUAUUGGCAGGGUUGGGAAAAGAACAAGGUUUUAAAUCUUGCUUUAGCCUCAUAUGGCAGAGCAAAUAGUAUUUUUAAUCUUUCUAAAUUUAAGGAUAAUGAUAUAGUCCGAUCUUCAUAGCGAUAUGAAGUAUUGAGCAGAAAUGUUCAAUCCAAACUAUUUUAGUUUGUGUAACAAUUUGUAGAGACCCAUGUAGUCCUAGCCGUAAACUAUGCUCGCUAGAGAUUAUCAAUUUAUUGGUAGUCCCGUAAGCUAACGCGUUAAGCGAGCCGCCUGGGGAGUACGGCCGCAAGGCUAAAACUCAAAGGAAUUGACGGGGACCCGCACAACCAGUGGAGCACUUUGACAUGCUAUCGUUUACUUCGAUGGAAACAUUGAGGGAUCUAAAUUUAUUUGGAUGAUAGCACAGGUGUUGCAUGGCCGUCGUCAGCUCGUGUCGUGGGAUGUUCCCUUCAGUGGGGUAACGAGCGCAACCCCCACCAAAUGUUGAAUAUUCAUUUGGGACUAUCUGAAUUUAUUUCAGGUGGAAGUGGGGACGACGUCAGGUCCGCAUUGCCCUUAUAGACUGGGCUACACACAUGCUACAAUGGAGCCGACAAUGGGUUGCCAAGAGGUAACUCGGAGCUAAUCCCAUCAAACGGCUUCUCAGUUGGGAUUGGGGGCUGCAAUUCGCCCCCAUGAACUCGGAAUUGGUAGUAAUCGGAGGUCAGCUAUACUCCGGUGAAUACGUUCUCGGGUCUUG